rnacentral:rRNA from 1 species
AUUGAACGCUGGCGGCAGGCUUAACACAUGCAAGUCGAGCGAGAGGCGGACGGGUGAGUAAUGUCUGGGAAACUGCCUGAUGGAGGGGGAUACAUACUGGAAACGGUAGCUAAUACCGCAUACCAUAAGAUGUGCCAAGAUGGGAUGCGCUAGUAGGUGGGGUAAUGGCUCACCUAGGCGACGAUCCAUGGCUGGUCUGAGAGGAUGACCAGCCACACUGGAACUGAGACACGGUCCAGACUCCUACGUGAGGCAGCAGUGGGGAAUAUUGCACAAUGGGCGCAAGCCUGAUGCAGCCAUGCCGCGUGUGUGAAGAAGGCCUUCGGGUUGUAAAGCACUUUCAGCGAGGAGGCGUUACUCGCAGAAGAAGCACCGGCUAACUCCGUGCCAGCAGCCGCGGUAAUUC